rnacentral:ncRNA from 1 species
AGCUUUGGUGCAAGCUUACUAUUACCUGUAGAUAUGAUUACACAUGCCAGCAUCCACGCCCCCGUGCCCUCGUCCUUCCCCCUGCCCCACACAGACUAGGACCUGGUAUCAGGCACACCACUAAAAGUAGCCCACGACACCACGCCUUUGCCACACCCCCACGGAACCCAGCAGUGAUUGACAUUAAGAAAUAAGCCCACGCUUGACCUAGCUACCCCUACCCAAACGGGCCGGUAAAUUACGUGCCAGCCACCGCGGUUACACGUAAGGCCCAAGAUAAUAGCCCCCGGCGUAAAGAGUGACCAAACAGAUCGGACCAUAAAAGAAAUUAGCACUACAAUAAAGCCGUAAAAUGCCCAUACACAGCAAGAAUUACAACAAAUUUCUUCGCAUGCCACCUAAAACGCCACGAAAGCCAGGGAACAAACUAGGAUUAGACACCCUACUAUGCCUGGCCGUUAACCACAGCAGUCACACCAACAAACUGCUCGCCAGAGGAUUACAAGCGAAAAGCUUAAAACUCAACGGACUUGACGGUGUUCCACACCAACCUAGAGGAGCCUGUCCUAUAAUCGACACCCCACGCUAAACCUCACCCCACCUUGACAAUCCCGCCUAUAUACCGCCGUCGUCAGCCUGCCCAAUGAUAGACCCACAGCAGACAAAAAAGUGCCUCACCCACUAAAACGUCAGGUCAAGGUGUAGCUAAUGGUGGGGGCAGAGAUGGGCUACAUUCUCUAAUACUAGAGAACCCACCACAAGCGACAUGAAAUAUUCGCCCAAAGGCGGAUUUAGCAGUAAAUCACGGUAAGACAACCCAUGUUGAAAACCCGCUCUGGAAC